AAGCGCGAAGAGGUAAGCAUUUUAUCAACAUUUUGUUUCAACAGUCACACAUCCUUUUUACAUGUUGAAGUUGUCGUUAGUGAGAGUUUGGCAUACUUCUUUACAAGGGGAAGUGAGAAAUGGUUUUUAAAAGCAUGCUCAUGUUGACUGCAGUAUUUAUCGUGAGGCUGCCAGGUGUUCAGUGUGGAGUGAGUGUGACCUACUCCUCCACACAAGUCUGUGGCCUUAAAGGGGCAUCAGUGGUCCUGCCCUGCACAUAUCACUAUUCUUGGGUUGGAUAUUUUAAAGGAGGAGAGUGGUAUGAAGAGAAAAG